rnacentral:rRNA from 1 species
GGUCAAGCGAACAAGUGCAUGUGGUGGAUGCCUUGGCGAUCACAGGCGAUGAAGGACGCGGUAGCCUGCGAAAAGCUACGGGGAGCUGGCAAACGAGCUUUGAUCCGUAGAUGUCCGAAUGGGGAAACCCACUCCUUUUGGAGUAUCCAUGGCUGAAUACAUAGGCCAUGUGAAGCGAACGCGGUGAACUGAAACAUCUAAGUAACCGCAGGAAAAGAAAUCAACCGAGAUUCCCAAAGUAGUGGCGAGCGAAAUGGGAUGAGCCUUGCACUCUUUAUUUGUAUUGUUAGCCGAACGC